GAGCGAUUAGCUCAGCUGGAUAGAGCGUCGGCCUCCGGAGCCGAAGGCCACAGGUUCGAAUCCUGUCGGGGACGCCA
rnacentral:tRNA from 1 species